UACAGAGGUGGCAAGCGUUGUUCGGAAUUACUGGGCGUAAAGGGCGCGUAGGCGGCCUUCUAAGUCAGACGUGAAAUCCCCAGGCUUAACUUGGGAACUGCGUCUGAUACUGGAAGGCUUGAGUGCGGGAGAGGGAUGUGGAAUUCCAGGUGUAGCGGUGAAAUGCGUAGAUAUCGGAAGGAACACCAGUGGCGAAAGCGGCUUCCUGGUCCAGCACCGACGUUCAGGCACGAAAGCGUGGGGAGCAAACAGA
rnacentral:rRNA from 1 species